AUUGAACGCUGGCGGCAUGCCUUACACAUGCAAGUCGAACGGUAACAGGUCUUCGGAUGCUGACGAGUGGCGAACGGGUGAGUAAUACAUCGGAACGUGCCCGAGAGUGGGGGAUAACGAGGCGAAAGCUUUGCUAAUACCGCAUACGAUCUCAGGAUGAAAGCAGGGGACCGCAAGGCCUUGCGCUCACGGAGCGGCCGAUGGCAGAUUAGGUAGUUGGUGGGAUAAAAGCUUACCAAGCCGACGAUCUGUAGCUGGUCUGAGAGGACGACCAGCCACACUGGGACUGAGACACGGCCCAGACUCCUACGGGAGGCAGCAGUGGGGAAUUUUGGACAAUGGGCGCAAGCCUGAUCCAGCAAUGCCGCGUGCAGGAUGAAGGCCUUCGGGUUGUAAACUGCUUUUGUACGGAACGAAAAGCCCUGGGUUAAUACCCUGGGGUCAUGACGGUACCGUAAGAAUAAGCACCGGCUAACUACGUGCCAGCAGCCGCCGUAAGAC
rnacentral:rRNA from 1 species